rnacentral:rRNA from 1 species
GACGAACGCUGGCGGCGUGCUUAACACAUGCAAGUCGAACGGAAAGGCCCUGCUUUUGUGGGGUGCUCGAGUGGCGAACGGGUGAGUAACACGUGAGUAACCUGCCCUUGACUUUGGGAUAACUUCAGGAAACUGGGGCUAAUACCGGAUAGGAGCUCCUGCUGCAUGGUGGGGGUUGGAAAGUUUCGGCGGUUGGGGAUGGACUCGCGGCUUAUCAGCUUGUUGGUGGGGUAGUGGCUUACCAAGGCUUUGACGGGUAGCCGGCCUGAGAGGGUGACCGGCCACAUGGGGACUGAGAUACGGCCCAGACGCCUACGGGAGGCAGCAGUGGGGCAUAUUGCACAAUGGGCGGAAGCCUGAUGCAGCAACGCCGCGUGCGGGAUGACGGCCUUCGGGUUGUAAACCGCUUUCGCCUGUGACGAAGCGUGAGUGACGGUAAUGGGUAAAGAAGCAACGGCUAACUACGUG